rnacentral:rRNA from 1 species
UAAUCUGCCCUACACAAGAGGACAACAGUUGGAAACGACUGCUAAUACUCUAUACUCCUGCUUAACACAAGUUGAGUAGGGAAAGUUUUUCGGUGUAGGAUGAGACUAUAUAGUAUCAGCUAGUUGGUAAGGUAAUGGCUUACCAAGGCUAUGACGCUUAACUGGUCUGAGAGGAUGAUCAGUCACACUGGAACUGAGACACGGUCCAGACUCCUACGGGAGGCAGCAGUAGGGAAUAUUGCGCAAUGGGGGAAACCCUGACGCAGCAACGCCGCGUGGAGGAUGACACUUUUCGGAGCGUAAACUCCUUUUCUUAGGGAAGAAUUCUGACGGUACCUAAGGAAUAAGCACCGGCUAACUCCGUGCCAGCAGCCGCGGUAAUACGGAGGGUGCAAGCGUUACUCGGAAUCACUGGGCGUAAAGGGCGCGUAGGCGGAUUAUCAAGUCUCUUGUGAAAUCUAAUGGCUUAACCAUUAAACUGCUUGGGAAACUGAUAGUCUAGAGUGAGGGAGAGGCAGAUGGAAUUGGUGGUGUAGGGGUAAAAUCCGUAGAUAUCACCAAGAAUACCCAUUGCGAAGGCGAUCUGCUGGAACUCAACUGACGCUAAGGCGCGAAAGCGUGGGGAGCAAACAGGAUUAGAUACCCUGGUAGUCCACGCCCUAAACGAUGUACACUAGUUGUUGGGGUGCUAGUCAUCUCAGUAAUGCAGCUAACGCAUUAAGUGUACCGCCUGGGGAGUACGGUCGCAAGAUUAAAACUCAAAGGAAUAGACGGGGACCCGCACAAGCGGUGGAGCAUGUGGUUUAAUUCGAAGAUACGCGAAGAACCUUACCUGGGCUUGAUAUCCUAAGAACCUUUUAGAGAUAAGAGGGUGCUAGCUUGCUAGAACUUAGAGACAGGUGCUGCACGGCUGUCGUCAGCUCGUGUCGUGAGAUGUUGGGUUAAGUCCCGCAACGAGCGCAACCCACGUAUUUAGUUGCUAACGGUUCGGCCGAGCACUCUAAAUAGACUGCCUUCGUAAGGAGGAGGAAGGUGUGGACGACGUCAAGUCAUCAUGGCCCUUAUGCCCAGGGCGACACACGUGCUACAAUGGCAUAUACAAUGAGACGCAAUACCGCGAGGUGGAGCAAAUCUAUAAAAUAUGUCCCAGUUCGGAUUGUUCUCUGCAACUCGAGAGCAUGAAGCCGGAAUCGCUAGUAAUCGUAGAUCAGCCAUGCUACGGUGAAUACGUUCCCGGGUCUUGUACUCACCGCCCGUCACACCAUGGGAGUUGAUUUCACUCGAAGCCGGAAUACUAAACUAGUUACCGUCCACAGUGGAAUCAGCGACUGGGGUGAAGUCGUAACAAGGUAACCGUAGGAGAACCUGCGGUUGGAUCACCUCCUUUCUA